GGGCCUAUGGCGCAAUGGUUAGCGCAGGGGACUCAUAAUCCCUUGGUUCCAGGUUCGAGUCCUGGUGGGCCCACCA
rnacentral:tRNA from 1 species